rnacentral:sRNA from 1 species
GGUGGCGUACUUCCUGAAUCGGGCGGUGUCUUCACGCAUGCGUAACGCAAACAGAUACCCGGCCCGCUUAAAGCGGGCUUUUUUUU